rnacentral:rRNA from 1 species
GGAGGUAGCGAGUGUUGUUUAACUAGGUGUGUUUGUAGAUUUUUUACCGACUUGACGUCGAGGCUAAGGGGCGGUAAGAGGUGAGACUUGACGUCGAGACUAAGGGGCACAAGAAACUGGAAGGAGAGGUCCAAGUCACGUUUCCUAGAGUCGCACCCGACGCGAUUCAACACCAAGAACUCACACGACGACGCUCGAGGCUCGUAACGGUACCGUCUCGACCACCGGUGGUACCACCAGCCCGGCGACGACAGGUAGCACUUCGUCUUCCGCAGGUCGAUGGACGACCUGUUCAUGUUCCACUACCUACCGUACCUCCUCGUCGUAUCCCACGAGUUCGCGUUCGACGCUCGGUAGGAACUGUAGUAACGGCUGCGGCUCGUCCGCCGCAGGGUGUCCCUACCCCGGUACCGGACCGACCUCCUUCAGUUCUCCCACCGGAUGCUCCGCUUGCUCCACAAGCUGCUCAAGUUAAUACUCCGCGAGGCGGCACUCCGGUUCUUCUUGCCCGUGAUGCAGUUCGAACCGAAGCUACGUCACUUCGAGAAAGGGUGUGUGUUGGCAAAACGUAAGGCGUUGUUUUACCCCUUCUUCGAGACGUCCCAAGACGUCAGGGAACUUCAGGAACACCGACUCUACUUACGUAAACCCAAAUUUAUAGUCGUCGUUCGUGGCCGUAGGUUCGUCACCUCCUUCUGCCUAGUACAAUAGAAACUAGGUUUCCUUUAGUAGUCGUCUAGCUCUUCGGUUCUAUGAUUCUUAUAACAACGGUGUGAUGAACCAGUACGAUCGUUACUUUUAGAGUACCAAGAAGGGUAGCAACCUCAUCCCCCCGAUCCGUUCUGGUGGAAUCGCGUUGAGUAAAUGUUGCUUGGACUUCAAGUCUUCGUAAAACUCAACAACUAAACCCAAACACAGAGACUGUUGAAGCUACACCUAAGGGACCGAUUGUCAUAACAACUUCGUCGUUGAGGUUUGUCUUUAUGUCGGCUUCGUUGAAGGUUCUUUUCUGGUGACCUAUCCGAAGUUCUACCUGAUUCGCCCGUAUCCAUAGAGGAACAUAACCUACUGCAGACCUUGGCUCUCUCGCUAUUCACCCUUUACGAGUUCCGGGCAGAAUGUGUAUCACGGUUCCCAUCACAUCAAGACUAUUGAUGAGCACUACCUCCUCAACGUUUUUAUUACCCAAGUCACUUUGGGAUACUAGAGCGUCCCGACCUCCUACUGAAGUAGUUCCUUUAAUAGCUCUGUUCUCGUAAGUUAUACGUCUUCCUUCUUCUUUCCGGUCGACACGAUCACUUUUACCAACCACUCUAGCACUUCUCUACAGCACCGAGAGGAAACCGGCGUUGUCGUGACCCAAGACAUGACAUAUGUUUCUGGUCGCUUCUUCUUACCUUUCGAUAUAGUUCGUCUUCGUUACAAACGUGGCUCCUCAGACCUUAAAAUGGUUAUGAGUUCGAGUCGAUGUUACUGAACAGUCGCGUCUACUUCGUCACGAAACGAAAGACACGACACAAAGGGUUCCUAAUACUCUAACUACACCUGUUCGACUAGGUUGAUACCUAGCGUGUACCGAAAUAGGUCCUGGUCUCUCUUCAAUCAGAGCUUUGGUAACGGUUUACCUAAAAGUCACUCGACUGGAGUUCCAGUAAGAAACACCUACACUUCGUUCAACUUCAACUUACGAUGCUUUAACCCAAGUAGUCUACACAACUAGCAAUAAUGUUUGUUUGUACAUUUUAGGUACUAGAAUACGUACUACAACGUGAAAGAUGUUACCUUUUUCUUACACGAGAACGUGGACUGUUUGGUGAACGGAGAGUCCGACUCACCGAAGGUCUAUGUCGAGCGGUGAAUGAAAACAGAACACUUGUUGGUCUUUGAUAUAACUUACUUAGAGACCACUUUUCUAGAGGCCGUUAGGUCUGUGAAUACACACUAUACAUGUACCUUCCAGGUAACGCCGUAAAUAGUUUUAUGUCGAGAAACUUCCGUAAUGCCGAGAAAUAUGCUUCGUCGAGUAAGGGAAACUUUAGUUUCGUAGACGUAGUGGAUUCCAUGGAACUAGAGAGUCUUUCACUAUAGCUUCGUGAAGGACUUCUAUAUUCGUAAGAUGUGUUGGACGUUUGUAACUUAUAGAGACCGACGGUUGCUGAAGUAGCCGAAGGUUCAGUUUACUCAAUAUACUGUAGGGAAGCAGUGGAGAUGUUAGUACCAACAGGCUUCUAUUCCUCGUACGGAUCACUGGAGGCUUUUGAGUACAGUGACGUCUGUGAAUGUACAAAACGUCGUUCAGCAUGACCGAGACCCACGUCACUACAACCUCUCAACGUCGUAAAUUUGGAACCACCUGUCGAUCUCGAUUCCGCCGAUCUCUUACAGUGUCUUCUUCUACGUUUUCGCCGUUUAGAGCUUUUCUUCUUCCUUGAGGCUCUUGACUGUAAUCCUACCUGACAACCAUCAUACCUGCUACGUGCUCACGAGCUCCAAGAUUUUGGUGUAGUACUCAACGUCCGACAUUCCUAUUUAAACAUGCCUCCGUGGCGGAAAGGUUGUACCUACCCAUACAACGUUUUGUACCAACUCUAGGUAGAAGCGAUAACAUUUUUUCACGUUACCAAUAAGUCAACACCAUGCAGGAAGAGAAAAGGUUUAGACUACCACAAAUGUGAUUUUCCAGACCUUACAAACUUCCCUAACACCCUUUAGUGUUCGUUCCUUGUCCCACUUCUCUAUUAUAAAGUCGUCGAACUCUUCAAUACAUGACAACUUACACCUUUUAACUGUCGCAAUGGUCUUCGUUGUAACGAAUCUGUUAGAAUACCAUGUUACCGUGGCAGUCGUAAAGGUCGUAAUUUCCAAGAGCUUAACUAUUUGAACUCUUUGAAACUCUCUACCUUAAGCCAGCAUCCUAGAGUUCCUCUUCUAUAGUAAAAAGGAGUAGAACUCUUCUAUAUACAAUAUCCGACACUCUUCUACUGUUGUAAUGGUCCUGUCGUUUUCCAACUUAGUGGUUUCGAGGCACAUAACCUGUACCUCCCUUCACUCCUUCUCUACAAGGCCACCCAUCGAUCUGUAUACUGAAGUAACUGGUCAGACUUUGAGUUCUUGGAACUUCUAUGUCUUUGUUGGAGUCGUCGCCCCCGACUAGUAUCAAACUGUGUUCACCACCUGUGGUACCUUUUUACCUUGGCAGUACUAAAGGGAAACCGUCUAUACUUCAAUUGACCGGAAUUCAGCCCACAUUGUCUCGAUACACGUACAAAACAUGUCGAAGUUCUGAACACGUAAGUACUAACACGACGUGAACAGGUGACCGGUCUCUUUCUCAAGGUUUCGAACCAUAAGAACUCCCAAGAUUCCUAUACCCCAACGUUUGUUGACCAACCUAUGCGUGUUCGAGGACGUCGACACAGUAGUUGUAGUAAUCUUAGGAGCUCGGUAGAGGACGGUGCAGAGCUCAAGGAACUAUAUCUACCAACACUUUCGUACCAUCUCAACAAGUUUGAGGGACGUAGGGACUCCCCUUACCUUUAACAAUUAACGUGAUUCGAGUUCAGGUAUACGUCGUCCUACGACGUCCUUUCUGUUAGUAGUAAUAGCUUAGAAGUUCCCCCUAGUGUACGUAUAAGCCUCCACAGUGGUAGUAGUCGACAUAGGUCCCGCCUCGUAAAAGGGAAAGGUGCAAAUUUUAUAUAUAUGUAUCUCUUCACACUAUCGAAUUGUCCCGAGGAGUCAGACGGAGGCAGGGAACUUUGUUAUUACCAAAGAUCCACACUAGUCAAUUCUAGUCACCUUAGAGUGAGCCCUCUCAAGGGUAGCAACUUUGCGGAACUGUAGCAACCUACGUUUUGGGACAGUAGGGAUGGCCUACCCGGUGUUCGUAUGAGUAGAGAGGUCUCCGAACUCUAAUCUUUGACAGGACCAUAUUUCUCCGAGGGAUGUACGGACGUUCUUGCAGAUUCGUCGGAACUCCUCUUUCUAGAUCUACCGGUAAUAGUUCUCGGGUCAGAAGACUUCGGGUUCUGUACCUCUUUACGGAAGGCGUUCCUAAUCCCUCGACAGUUAUACGUCGUGGCAGUGGUACCCUAGGUGGUGGUUUGUCGUCGUCGUCUAAACUAAGCUAAUAUUCCUUCCCCAGCUACUAGUGAUUUAAGACUCGAAAGAAGCAGACCACAACUAACACCCGCCGAGGAAACGCCUUGACAAAGGCGUGUAUGUUCGACAGUUCACGGUUCGAUAUGGUACCGACACUAGAGACGGACACCAAACCUUGUGAAAACACAGUGGGUCUAUGUACAGGACACCACAACUAACGCGCACCGAGUAACAGUCUUGACCAAGGCGUCUAUGUCAGAUCUGCCUUGACCACGUAUAUAUACGGUUCUUAAGUCAGUGUGAGGUGGUCCAAGUAUACAUUUCAUCAUCGUUCAUAACAGAGAACACUCAACCUUGUGAACUCACACUGAGUCUAUAGAUCUACAGAGAAGAUCGAAACUGGAAAUGUAUAGAGGAUGUCACGUAAACGACCUUGUGAGUACCAACACGUCGACAUAGAAUCUGAGGAACGUUCCAUCCAUGCGUGCGUAGACACAGGAGGAGAUAAUUAAAUAGUGUAAAAUUCGUCGUUUAAGUCUAG